UACGGAGGGUGCAAGCGUUAUCCGGAUUCACUGGGUUUAAAGGGUGCGUAGGUGGGCAGGUAAGUCAGUGGUGAAAUCUCCGGGCUUAACCCGGAAACUGCCAUUGAUACUAUCUGUCUUGAAUACCGUGGAGGUGAGCGGAGUAUGUCAUGUAGCGGUGAAAUGCUUAGAUAUGACAUAGAACACCAAUUGCGAAGGCAGCUCACUACACGAAUAUUGACACUGAGGCACGAAAGCGUGGGGAGCAAACAGG
rnacentral:rRNA from 1 species